rnacentral:lncRNA from 1 species
GCCACCUUCCAAAGGGGCGGAAUCCCCCUGCCUCGCGUACCCCAGGGGUCUCGGCAGCGCCGCUAUUCUGUGAGCCUAUUCCUCUCAGAAGCGCCGAGCACUAGGCCUGGAAGAGGACAAGUCUAGCAAAUGAGGGGACACGGGCGGAGGGAGGGAUUAAAAGAUGGGGGUGUGAUCCGUGCCAAUGGGGACACCCACUGGUUCGAAUAUUAACGCGAGGUUUGUCCGCUUCUUCACAAUCUGUCCGUUUCGUUUUACUGCGAAAGCAAAUGUGUUCCCAUCCCUCUAUUUGGGGAUACGAUUAGAGUUCCGGGAAGGGGGUGCAGCGCCCGGACUGGCACAACCGCCGUUGUCCCACCUCCUCCGGGGCGGCAACACCGCAGUGCCAGGCCUGGGACUGAGGCGUGGGGUCCCCCCUCGCUCCGUCCUGGCGCCGCCCGUCGCCCCGCCCCUUGGGGGGCCCCGUGGCGCACCCUUGUGACGUAGCGCUUGUGUCGACAUCGGCGCGCGCCGAGCCCGGAAGAGGCGCGGGCUAGGAAAGGAGUUGGUUCGCGCAGGUGCGGCGCCUGGGUCCCCAUGGCGCUGUGGCGCGGCUCCGCGUACGCGGGCUU